CCCCCGCGUCCCCCAGCAGUGUGCCCACUGUCCCGGCACACGGACACCUGAGGAGCACAGUGGCUAAAGUUGCUGGGCUACGUAUGUAGCCCGCGCGACCGUUCUAGGUAAGUGAUUUUUUCUGAUUGUCUGUUUUAUUUUUUGGAUUAAAUCUGUUUUUAUGCACAUUUACUUUUAUAUAAAAUGUAUAAUCAUAUUAAUUGAUUGUUUUUUUCACUUUGUUAGUUAUAUUUUGGUCUUAAAACACUAAAAAAUCAUUUGAAUCAUUUUAGGUAAUAAUGGCGAUGAACGAAGGUCAAAUUCGGAGAUGGCUUAUGGAAGACGAGGAAAAUAGUGAUAACUUGACGGUAAGCGAAGAAAAAGGUCCUAUGGAACCGUUAAUUCUUUCCGAUAAUACUCAUUUAUCGGAGAGUGAACAAUAAGUAGAAGAUUUGGACGAAGAUGAUGUGAUGUGAAGGUACCAUCAUCAUCAUCAGUUUUGAUCAGCUACAAGUCCUGGAAUUUUAUGAAAUGGAGUAAAUUUCCACCAUCUGCUACUAUAUUGUAAGAAACUAUGAUCUGUUUAUAUGUUUUGUGUCCUAAACUAAAAAAAAAUCUGAUUAGUGUGAUGGUCCCAAAUAAUAUCGAUAUUUAGAAGUAUGUUUUUAAUUGUUAAAAUUUUUGUUUAAAAUUAGAAAAUUUUCAUACGUUUUUUACUUUAAAGUUAAAAAAUAAAUAUGAUACUUGAAAUGUAGCAAAGUGUUUUACUUUUCAAUCAAAUAUCUGUGCUUAUGAGGCAUUACAAAUGGGCUACACAUGUAGCCCGCGCGACCAUCCCAGGAGUUAAAUGAGCGCGCCUACUCUAGUGUUAA